CCUACGGGAUGCAGCAGUGGGGAAUAUUGCUCAAUGGGGGAAACCCUGAUGCAGCGACGCCGCGUGAGUGAAGAAGUAUUUCGGUAUGUAAAGCUCUAUCAGCAGGGAAGAAAAUGACGGUACGUGAUUAAGAAGCCCCGGCUAACUAAGUGCCAGCAGCCGCGGUAAUACGUAGGGGGCAAGCGUUAUCCGGAUUUACUGGGUGUAAAGGGAGCGUAGACGGCAGCACAAGUCUGGCGUGAAAUGCAGGGGCUUAACCCCGGAACUGCUUUGGAAACUGUGCAGCUAGAGUGCAGGAGAGGUAGGUGGAAUUCCUAGUGUAGCGGUGAAAUGCGUAGAUAUUAGGAGGAACACCAGUGGCGAAGGCGGCUUACUGGACUGUAACUGACGUUGAGGCUCGAAAGCGUGGGGAGCAAACAGGAUUAGAUACCCGGGUAGUC
rnacentral:rRNA from 1 species